rnacentral:rRNA from 1 species
GACGAACGCUGGCGGCGUGCUUAACACAUGCAAGUCGAACGAAAAGAGGGAAAGAGCUUGCUCUUUCCGGAAUUGAGUGGCAAACGGGUGAGUAACACGUAAACAACCUGCCUUCAGGAUGGGGACAACAGACGGAAACGACUGCUAAUACCGAAUAAGUUCCAAGAGCCGCAUGGCCCAUGGAAGAAAAGGUGGCCUCUACCUGUAAGCUAUCGCCUGAAGAGGGGUUUGCGUCUGAUUAGCUGGUUGGAGGGGGUAACGGCCCACCAAGGCGACGAUCAGUAGCCGGUCUGAGAGGAUGAACGGCCACACUGGAACUGAGACACGGUCCAGACUCCUACGGGAGGCAGCAGUGGGGAAUCUUCCGCAAUGGGCGAAAGCCUGACGGAGCAACGCCGCGUGAGUGAUGACGGCCUCGGUUGUAACUAGCUUUGUACGGUACGAAAAGGUACGUCUAUUAAUACUAGGGCGUCGAUGACGGUACCGUAAGAAUAAG